GACGAACGCUGGCGGCGUGCCUAAUACAUGCAAGUAGAACGCUGAAGGAGGAGCUUGCUCUUCUGGAUGAGUUGCGAACGGGUGAGUAACGCGUAGGUAACCUGCCUGGUAGCGGGGGAUAACUAUUGGAAACGAUAGCUAAUACCGCAUAAGAGUAGAUGUUGCAUGACAUUUGCUUAAAAGGUGCAAUUGCAUCACUACCAGAUGGACCUGCGUUGUAUUAGCUAGUUGGUGGGGUAACGGCUCACCAAGGCGACGAUACAUAGCCGACCUGAGAGGGUGAUCGGCCACACUGGGACUGAGACACGGCCCAGACUCCUACGGGAGGCAGCAGUAGGGAAUCUUCGGCAAUGGACGGAAGUCUGACCGAGCAACGCCGCGCGAGUGAAGAAGGUUUUCGGAUCGUAAAGCUCUGUUGUAAGAGAAGAACGAGUGUGAGAGUGGAAAGUUCACACUGUGACGGUAUCUUACCAGAAAGGGACGGCUAACUACGUG
rnacentral:rRNA from 1 species